AUAAUUUAACAUGAUGCACNCACGUGACUCCCAAUCGGCGCUGCUCUGGAGAAAUCCCGGGCUCUGAACGGGGACAGGGACUGCUCGUGACAGCGCUCUAGGCUGGGUGGGUGGGGGCUCUGAGGGCGAAGUUCAGGGGCACAGCAGCGGCGUCCCACGCUGAGGGGAGGGUCAGGCAGCUGCUUACUUAGGUAACGGGACACGGACCCAAAUGUUUCCAAGACUCGUGCAAGCAAAUUAAUCUGACCUUGGCUGAUGAUCAAGCCUCAUAAGUUCCAGUAUAGUCGUCUUAUCAUCCCAACCCAAUCUACACAGAAAAUGCUCUUGUGAAAUUAUUAGUCAUUUUAGUGAGGUGCCACAGACCAAGGACCCGGGGGCGGGGGGGUUGGUUUUUUGGUUGUUGUUUAUUUUUUACAACUUUUUUGGCAAGUAAUUCAAUAAUCUCUAUCACAAGUCCUGUAAACCCACAUAAAACUAGAUCUGAAUGCCCAUCUCGGCAUUGUGCUCUAUCCAAACAAAACACAAACUGGGUUCCCCGAGGUUUGAAAAGUGCUAUUAAUUCUUGACCAAGUUUUCCCAAGGAUGUAGCAGAGGGCAAUGACCCAUCUUGGGCCACAGGCCAGCUUGCUAGCCGCCCUUAGCCCUCCUCCUCUCCUGCGCAUGGACCACGCCGCAGGGCGGCCGCUCAGAUGACUCCCUUCUGCCUCCUACACCUGCUGACUGCCUGCCGUGGCUCCCCCUUCUCUCUGGCCAAGCUCUGCUCAGCCCAUCUUCCCUCUGGGCUCUUUCUGGCUGGACCUCCUGCAGUUCAGCUCCUUCUGCUGCUUUCAUUUCUCCUCUGUGUCACCUGCGGUCAUCUGAUCAGCCCAAGAGGCCCUAAAACGGGCUGGGUAGGCAGGGGAUGGGGGCAGGGGUGGUCCAUGGUCAGAAUGUCACAUACUUUGAGCAAGUAUUUCCACUCCUAGGAAUCUAAAGUGGAUCAAUAGAGUAACAGAUCAAAACUUCAGGUUCAAAGAUGGGUAUCAGAGUAUUAUUUACAAGAAAAAAAAAAAUGGAAACAACUGAAUAUCCAAUGAGGAGCAGUGGUUAAGUAAAUCAUGACAGCUCUGUAAAACGGAACACUGGGAAGACACUAAAACUUCUGCUUUUGAAAAUAUUUAUUGUUGUGGGAACCUGCCUGUGAUAACAUCAAAGGAAGCCAAAAUCCAGACUGCGAAGCUGCAGACAAACUAUGAUAUCAAUUUUAUUUCCCUUGAUGUGUAUGUUGAAAAAUGCUUCUCUGGUGUCCACUGCUCCAGGGUUUUUGUGGCUUCCUUGGAUCAGGUCACUGAAAAGCAGGACAUGAAGUAACAUUUUCAAGUGAGUUUUCAAGACGCUACCUCUUUUUUUUUUUUUUUUUUGGCCUGUGAUGAGGAGAGGUGACAUGGAGUCCAGGAGCCCAGCCAGCCCCCAGGGGCUCCCCCCUGGCAUUCAGGAAGAGACCCCCACCAAGAGCCAUGACCUUCCCCACAUGUGCCAGGGAAUCACAGGGAGGCGUGAAGACCUGGCUUUGCAGACAAGACCAUUCCUUGCAAGGAGCCACUCGGCAGCAGGAGCUCUUGCCUCGAAGGUAGUGACCUAGGACAGCGCAGGCUCAGGGACUAGGUAUGGAGCUCAGGCAAGCUCAACACCCCACUGAGCCCCAGGUGUUCAUCUGAAAUUAGGUUAAUAAAAUCUAUCUCAUAUGCGUGUUGGGAGAUGCCGUGAAGAAAGGCCAGAGCACAGGAGAAGCAGCAGAGCACAGAAGCUCUGGGCCAGGCUGCCCGGGUGAGCAUCCGGGCUCCUCAUCGAGAUAUAGGGGUAAUUACGGGCCUGGUCACCACCCUACAGUUCUGCCGAGAGGAUUACCACAGCCAGUACAAUAAAAUAUGGGAACAACGCCCUGGCACAAACUAAGCCCUCAAUGGAUGCGAGCUUCCUCUCCCCCUCGUGUCUUUCCGGGGGACUCUGCUUCCUCCAUCCUCUGCUCAGGACUGCCCUCCUUUCCUAGCCCAGCCUUAAGGAUGCUCCUUUAAUCCUCGUCAAUUCCUCUUUUAUGGGUCACAGUCCACUUCCUAGUGCCUGCUGUCUCUCUAGAGCAGGUGUCUGCACAGGAGGGCUCACAGGUCAAAUCCAACCUGCCACCUGUUUUUAGAAAUAAAGUUUUAUUGGAACACAGCUCACUCGUUCAUUUCGGUAUCGUUUACGGCUGCUUUUUAGUGGUAUCACGACAGAGCUGAGUAACUGCGACUGAGACCCGAUGUCCCACAGAGCCCCAAAUAUUUACGAUCUGGCCUCUUCCUGGAAAAGCUCACCAAUUUCUGUUCUGGACCAACACCGUCCGAUAAAAAACAGAAUACGAGGGAUGUGUGAUUUUUUUCACAGCCACAUGUUAAAAGGAAAAAGCAACAAGGUGAAAUUAAUUUUAGUAACAUAUUCCGCUUAAUAUAUUACAAAUAUGAUCAUUUCACUGAGUAAUAAAUAUAAUAAAUACAAAAAAUGAUCAAUGAGGUACUCGAAGCCACGCCAGAGUCUGACACAUGCACAGUGUAACACAACAGUUAUAUCUUACUGGAUGCGAGGUUGACACGUGAACUGCAGUACUUCCAGAACCAAUAAAGUUAGACUUUGCGAAAAAAACAUCCUAGGCUGGCUUUACUUUCUAAAUUUCAAUGUGAAUGAAACUAAAACACCCAGUUCCUCAAUUGCACUGGUUACCUUUCAAGGGGCCGCCAUACGGGACACCAGUGGCCUGAAAAACAACCCCUCCCUACAGAUGCUCACGCCUCUUGCACACACGGAGGCUCACUCUGCAUGUGCUUUCGCUCAAACGCAAGGUGGUUUUCAAGCGGGCAAAGGAGAACUUUUGGUGAGGGGCAGGCCAGGGGCAGCAGGAGAAAUAGGUAAAGGGGUCGGGGGUGUCCCUAGACCCCCUGGCAGGCUCUGAGCUCCUACAGAGAGAGAGGUCAGAGAUAGAAGCCGAAGGAGCCAAUCCAGACUUCGGGCCAAGUCACACUGGUUUGGGCCUCAGGGGUCCCCCUAUUCCAGCCAGCCUCCCAUCUCUGUCCAGAGUCCAGAUGGCCCUUUGCCUGGACU
rnacentral:lncRNA from 1 species